GACGAACGCUGGCGGCGUGCCUAAUACAUGCAAGUUGAGCGCUGAAGGUUGGUACUUGUACCAACUGGAUGAGCAGCGAACGGGUGAGUAACGCGUGGGGAAUCUGCCUUUGAGCGGGGGACAACAUUUGGAAACGAAUGCUAAUGCCGCAUAAAAACUUUAAACACAAGUUUUAACUUUGAAAGAUGCAAUUGCAUCACUCAAAGAUGAUCCCGCGUUGUAUUAGCUAGUUGGUGAGGUAAAGGCUCACCAAGGCGAUGAUACAUAGCCGACCUGAGAGGGUGAUCGGCCACAUUGGGACUGAGACACGGCCCAAACUCCUACGGGAGGCAGCAGUAGGGAAUCUUCGGCAAUGGACGAAAGUCUGACCGAGCAACGCCGCGUGAGUGAAGAAGGUUUUCGGAUCGUAAAACUCUGUUGGUAGAGAAGAACGUUGGUGAGAGUGGAAAGCUCAUCAAGUGACGGUAACUACCCAGAAAGGGACGGCUAACUACGUG
rnacentral:rRNA from 1 species